rnacentral:rRNA from 1 species
CUUGGUCAUUUAGAGGAAGUAAAAGUCGUAACAAGGUUUCCGUAGGUGAACCUGCGGAAGGAUCAUUAUCGUACAAUGGGGGUACCACGGCUGUCGCUGACUUUUUCGGUCGUGCACGCCAGAGUGCUCUCACCUUACAAAUAUCCAUCUCACCCCUUUGUGCAUCACCGCGUGGGUCCCCCUUCCUCCGAGGGGGGUCCUCACGUUUUUAACAUUAAACACCCAUUCGAACGUAUCGUAGAAUGUUCUUUGCGCGAUCACGCGCGAUCAAUACAACUUUCAACAACGGAUCUCUUGGCUCUCGCAUCGAUGAAGAACGCAGCGAAAUGCGAUACGUAAUGUGAAUUGCAGAAUUCAGUGAAUCAUCGAAUCUUUGAACGCACCUUGCGCCCCUUGGUAUUCCGAGGGGCACACCCGUUUGAGUGUCGUGAACAUCCUUCAACCUUUCUUGGUUUCUCGAUCAAGGAAGGCUUAGACUUUGGGGGUUUUUCAUUGCUGGCCUCCCUUGAAGCCAGCUCCUCCUAAAUGUAUUAGUGGGGUCUGCUUUGCCGAUCCUUGACGUGAUAAGAUGCUUCUACGUCUUGGGUUUCGCACUGUCGCUUUGGACCCUGCUUCUAACCGUCUUGCAUUCAGGACAGAGUCAUGAACCUUGACCUCAAAUCGGGUGAGACUACCCGCUGAACUUAAGCAUAUCAAUAAGCGGAGGA